rnacentral:lncRNA from 1 species
CUCAGUUUUUGUUAUGUAUGUUUGCUUUCAGCUGUGGACUAAAGGAUCUGAAAGGGAGAAAUCAAUUCUAAAUGCUAACUGAAAUGAAAAGGGCAUAUCACAAUCAAAUAUGAAAGUUCAUGUUUCUGUGAGGUCAGAGAAAGAGAUGGGGAGAUUUUCUUCACAGAUAAAGAAUUUGCUUUCUCCUCACUCAACACAUGCUUUAGAGCAAGAUGUUUAAAUCUUAUACUGGAUAAUUUGAGAUAGCCAUCUUACUUUUCUGACUCCAGGGUUAUAAAUACAUCCAGCUGUAUGACAAAAACUCUAUACUAAGCAAUUGAGCAUUUAUUCUUCUAAAGUGACACACACUUUUUAAGUAUUUAUGUGGGCACCUGAGAAAAAGACUCAG